GCAUAGGUGGUUCACUGGUAGAAAAGUCGCCUGCCACGCGGGAGACCCGAGUAUGACUCCUGGCCAAUGCA
rnacentral:tRNA from 1 species